GUCCACGCCCUAAACGAUGAGGACUAGAUGUCGGGAGGGUCUGCCUCUCGGUGUCGCAGCUAACGCGCUAAGUCCUCCGCCUGGGGAGUACGGCCGCAAGGUUGAAACUCAAAGGAAUUGACGGGGACCCCGCACAAGCGGUGGAGCAUGUGGUUUAAUUCGAUGCAACGCGAAGAACCUUACCUGGUCUUGACAUCCGUGGAACUCGGCAGAGAUGCCUUGGUGCCUUCGGGAGCCACGAGACAGGUGCUGCAUGGCUGUCGU
rnacentral:rRNA from 1 species